rnacentral:rRNA from 1 species
AUACGGAGGAUCCGAGCGUUAUCCGGAUUUAUUGGGUUUAAAGGGUGCGCAGGCGGCCAUUUAAGUCAGCGGUUAAAUCGUGGGGCUCAACCCCAUUCUGCCGUUGAUACUGGGUGGCUUGAUUGCGGUCGAGGUUGGCGGAAUUCGUUGUGUAGCGGUGAAAUGCAUAGAUAUGACGAAGAACACCGAUUGCGUAGGCAGCUGACCAGUCCGCAAAUGACGCUCAUGCACGAAAGUGCGGGGAUCGAACAGGAUUAGAUACCCUGGUAGUCCGCACAGUAAACGAUGAAUACUUGUUUUCGGCGAUAUAAUGUCGGAGGCAAAGCGAAAGCGAUAAGUAUUCCACCUGGGGAGUACGCCGGCAACGGUGAAACUCAAAUGAAUUGACGGGG